CUAUGGCUCAGGAUGAACGCUAGCUACAGGCUUAACACAUGCAAGUCAGGGGCAGCAUUGGGAUAGCUUGCUAUUCAGAUGGCGACCGGCGCACGGGUGAGUAACGCGUAUCCAACCUUCCUGCCAGUAGGGAACAGCCCGGCGAAAGUCGGAUUAAUGCCCUAUGUUCUUCAAUGCGGACAUCUAAGUUGAAGGAAAGAUUCAUCGCUGGCAGAUGGGGAUGCGUCCGAUUAGCUUGCCGGCGGGGUAACGGCCCACCGGGGCGACGAUCGGUAGGGGUUCUGAGAGGAAGGUCCCCCACACUGGUACUGAGACACGGACCAGACUCCUACGGGAGGCAGCAGUGAGGAAUAUUGGUCAAUGGGCGUAAGCCUGAACCAGCCAAGUAGCGUGCCAGGAUGACGGCCCUACGGGUUGUAAACUGCUUUUAUGCGGGGAUAAAGUGCGGCACGUGUGCCGCUUUGCAGGUACCGCAUGAAUAAGGACCGGCUAAUUCCGUGCCAGCCGCCGC
rnacentral:rRNA from 1 species